ensembl:lncRNA
GUGAUGGUGGUGAUGGGGUGAGGGGUGAUGAUGGGGUGAUGGUGGUGUUAAGGUGAUGGUGGUGAUAGGGUGAUGGUGGUGAUGGGGUGAUGGUGGUGAUGGUGGUGAUGGUGGUGAUAAGGUGAUGGUGGUGAUAAGGUGAUGGUGGUGGUAAGGUGAUGGUGGUGAUGGGGUGAUGGUGGUGAUGGUGGUGAUGGUGGUGAUAAGGUGAUGGUGGUGAUAAGGUGAUGGUGGUGAUGGUGGUGUGAUGGUGGUGUUAAGGUGAUGGUGGUGAUAAGGUGAUGGUGGUGAUAAGGUGAUGGUGGUGAUGGGGUGAUGGUGGUGAUAAGGUGAUGGUGGUGAUAAGGUGAUGGUGGUGAUAAGGUGAUGGUGGUGAUAAGGUGAUGGUGGUGAUGGGGUGAUGGUGGUGAUGGUGGUGAUAAUGUGAUGGUGGUGAUGGGGUGAUGGUGGUGAUGGUGGUGAUGGGGUGAGGGAGGUGAUGGUGAUGAUAAGGUGAUGGUGGUGAUGGUGGUAUUAAGGUGACGGUGGUGAUGGGGUGAUGGUGGUGAUGGGGUGAGGGUGGUGAUGGUGGUGAUGGGGUGAGGGUGGUGAUGGUGGUGAUGGGGUGAUGGUGGUGAUGGGGUGAGGGUGGUGAUAAGGUGAUGGUGGUGAUGGUGGUGAUAAGGUGAUGGUGGUGAUGGGGUGAGGGUGGUGAUGGUGGUGAUGGGGUGAGGUUGGUGAUGGUGGUGAUGGGGUGAGGGUGGUGAUGGUGGUGAUAAGGUGAUGGUGGUGAUAAG